UACGUAGGGCGCAAGCGUUAUCCGGAAUUAUUGGGCGUAAAGAGCUCGUAGGCGGUUUGUCGCGUCUGCUGUGAAAACCCGAGGCUCAACCUCGGGCCUGCAGUGGGUACGGGGCAGACUAGAGUGCGGUAGGGGGAGAUUGGAAUUCCUGGUGUAGCGGUGGAAUGCGCAGAUAUCAGGAGGAACACCGAUGGCGAAGGCAGAUCUCUGGGCCGUAACUGACGCUGAGGAGCGAAAGCAUGGGGGAGCGAACAGG
rnacentral:rRNA from 1 species